AUUGUAUCAAUAGCAAAGAAAGGAAAGUACUAUAUAGUUCACAAGUCCUCGCACAGGAAUUCAAAUGUACGACUAACUAUUCAGCAAAACAGCUGCCUUUAGUAUCUACAUUAAUCUGUAGAUUUGUGGAAAAUUCCAUUGAUGUUUGCCAAUUUGCACAAUCUUACAUAUAGCAGUCCAUGUGAGAGAACACAGCAUUGACAAUGGCUGUGAUACUUAAGCAAGGCGAGAGACUACCAGAAGAAGCAAAAGAAAAUAAAAUUAGCAUCUUACUGGCAGGGAAGAGUACAUGAACAUUGUUAUUCAUUAUGGCGAAAAGUGUCAAGAAUUCAAUGUGAGUUUAAAGGGACGUGGCAGGCACCAGAACCACAAGAGCAUAAUGUAAUUAAUGAGAUACAUAGGGGGUAAAAACUGCAGAAUCAACAUUCAGCAACCUUGCAAUUUGCAUUAAAUGCUUCUCAAUUAGGGGAUACUCACUUGUACAGAGAAGCAACUGCCACAGACACUUGCAUUGUCAGUGCUUCCCUGUAAGGAAGCAUUGGAUUAUUUGAGAUCAGCAAUACAGCUGAUCUCUCCACAAGGAGCCACUCCAGCAAGACUGGCACAGUAGUGAAAUAAAAGGC